GGGUGCGAUCAUACCAGCACUAAAACACGAAUUCC
rnacentral:rRNA from 1 species